rnacentral:rRNA from 1 species
UACGGGAGUGGCAAGCGUUAUCCGGAAUUAUUGGGCGUAAAGCGUCCGCAGGCGGUCUUAUAAGUCUGUUGUUAAAGCGUGGAGCUUAACUCCAUUUCAGCAAUGGAAACUGUAAGACUAGAGUGUGGUAGGGGCAGAGGGAAUUCCCGGUGUAGCGGUGAAAUGCGUAGAUAUCGGGAAGAACACCAGUGGCGAAGGCGCUCUGCUGGGCCAUAACUGACGCUCAUGGACGAAAGCCAGGGGAGCGAAAGGGAUUAGAUACCCCUGUAGUCCUGGCCGUAAACGAUGAACACUAGGUGUCGGGGGAAUCGACCCCCUCGGUGUCGUAGCCAACGCGUUAAGUGUUCCGCCUGGGGAGUACGCACGCAAGUGUGAAACUCAAAGGAAUUGACGGGGGCCCGCACAAGCGGUGGAGUAUGUGGUUUAAUUCGAUGCAACGCGAAGAACCUUACCAGGGUUUGACAUCCUGCGAAUCUCUUGGAAACGAGAGAGUGCCUUCGGGAACGCAGUGACAGGUGGUGCAUGGCUGUCGUCAGCUCGUGUCGUGAGAUGUUGGGUUAAGUCCCGCAACGAGCGCAACCCACGUCGUUAGUUGCCAGCAUUUAGUUGGGCACUCUAGCGAGACCGCCGGUGAUAAACCGGAGGAAGGUGUGGAUGACGUCAAGUCAUCAUGCCCCUUACAUCCUGGGCUACACACGUACUACAAUGCUACGGACAAAGGGCAGCAAACUCGCGAGAGCUAGCAAAUCCCAUAAACCGUGGCUCAGUUCAGAUCGUAGGCUGCAACUCGCCUACGUGAAGGAGGAAUCGCUAGUAAUCGCAGGUCAGCAUACUGCGGUGAAUACGUUCCCGGGCCU